UGCUCAUGUUUCUCUUUAGAUCGUAUAAAUCUUUUGCCUUUUACUAAAGAUUUCCGUGGAGAGAAACAAUAUGAGUUUUUCCAAAUGUUUUAAUGCCCUGCUCUUGUAGGACU